rnacentral:rRNA from 1 species
GAUGAACGCUAGCGGCAGGCUUAACACAUGCAAGUCGAGGGGUAUAGGUUUUCGGACCUAGAGACCGGCGCACGGGUGCGUAACGCGUAUGCAAUCUACCUUUUGCAGAGGGAUAGCCCCAGAGAAAUUUGGAUUAAUACCUCAUAGUAUAUGGACUUCGCAUGGAGACCAUAUUAAAGUUCCAACGGCAAAAGAUGAGCAUGCGUCCCAUUAGCUAGAUGGUAAGGUAACGGCUUACCAUGGCUACGAUGGGUAGGGGUCCUGAGAGGGAGAUCCCCCACACUGGUACUGAGACACGGACCAGACUCCUACGGGAGGCAGCAGUGAGGAAUAUUGGACAAUGGGCGCAAGCCUGAUCCAGCCAUGCCGCGUGCAGGAUGACGGUCCUAUGGAUUGUAAACUGCUUUUAUACAGGAAGAAACACUCCGACGUGUCGGAGCUUGACGGUACUGUAAGAAUAAGGAU